rnacentral:rRNA from 1 species
UACGUAGGGUGCAAGCGUUGUCCGGAAUUAUUGGGCGUAAAGAGCUCGUAGGUGGUCAGUCGCGUCUGCUGUGAAAACUCGGGGCUUAACUCCGGGCCUGCAGUGGGUACGGGCUGACUAGAGUGCGGUAGGGGAGACUGGAAUUCCUGGUGUAGCGGUGAAAUGCGCAGAUAUCAGGAGGAACACCGGUGGCGAAGGCGGGUCUCUGGGCCGAUACUGACGCUGAGGAGCGAAAGCGUGGGGAGCGAACAGG